rnacentral:rRNA from 1 species
CCAGCCGAGCGCGUCUACCAUGCAGUCGAACGAUGAUCCGGUGCUUGCACCGGGGAUUAGUGGCGAACGGGUGAGUAACACGUGAGUAACCUGCCCUUAACUCUGGGAUAAGCCUGGGAAACUGGGUCUAAUACCGGAUAUGACUGAUCAUCGCAUGGUGGUUGGUGGAAAGCUUUUUGUGGUUUUGGAUGGACUCGCGGCCUAUCAGCUUGUUGGUGAGGUAAUGGCUUACCAAGGCGACGACGGGUAGCCGGCCUGAGAGGGUGACCGGCCACACUGGGACUGAGACACGGCCCAGACUCCUACGGGAGGCAGCAGUGGGGAAUAUUGCACAAUGGGCGCAAGCCUGAUGCAGCGACGCCGCGUGAGGGAUGACGGCCUUCGGGUUGUAAACCUCUUUCAGUAGGGAAGAAGCGAAAGUGACGGUACCUGCAGAAGAAGCGCCGGCUAACUACGUGCCAGCAGCCGCGGUAAUACGUAGGGCGCAAGCGUUAUCCGGAAUUAUUGGGCGUAAAGAGCUCGUAGGCGGUUUGUCGCGUCUGCCGUGAAAGUCCGGGGCUCAACUCCGGAUCUGCGGUGGGUACGGGCAGACUAGAGUGAUGUAGGGGAGACUGGAAUUCCUGGUGUAGCGGUGAAAUGCGCAGAUAUCAGGAGGAACACCGAUGGCGAAGGCAGGUCUCUGGGCAUUAACUGACGCUGAGGAGCGAAAGCAUGGGGAGCGAACAGGAUUAGAUACCCUGGUAGUCCAUGCCGUAAACGUUGGGCACUAGGUGUGGGGGGACAUUCCACGUUUUCCGCGCCGUAGCUAACGCAUUAAGUGCCCCGCCUGGGGAGUACGGCCGCAAGGCUAAAACUCAAAGGAAUUGACGGGGGCCCGCACAAGCGGCGGAGCAUGCGGAUUAAUUCGAUGCAACGCGAAGAACCUUACCAAGGCUUGACAUGAACCGGAAAGACCUGGAAACAGGUGCCCCGCUUGCGGUCGGGUUUACAGUGGUGCAUGGUUGUCGUCAGCUCGUGUCGUGAGAUGUUGGGUUAAGUCCCGCAACGAGCGCAACCCUCGUUCUAUGUUGCCAGCAACGUGAUGUUGGGGACCUCAUAGGAGACUGCGGGUUCAACUCGGAGGAAGGUGGGGGACGACGUCAAUCAUCAUGCCCAUUAUUGUCUUGGGCUUCACCGCCAUGCUACCAUGGGCCGGGUACAAAUGGAUUGCGCGAUACUGUGAGGUGGAGCUUAAUUCCAAAGUCGGUCCUCAGUUCGGAUGGGGUCUUGCAACUCGAAUCCAUGAGUCGGAAUGCCCUAGUAAUCCGAAGAAUCUA